GGCAAAGCUCAGUGGUAGGGCAUCUGCUUUGCAUGCAGAAGAACCCAGGUCCACUCCUUGGCAUCUCCA